UACGAGGGGGGCAAGCGUUGUUCGGAUUUAUUGGGCGUAAAGGGUGCGUAGGCGGUUUGGCAAGUCUUGUGUGAAAUCUUUGGGCUCAACCCAAAGUCUGCAUAAGAAACUGCCGGGCUUGAGUAUGGGAGAGGUGAGUGGAAUUUCCGGUGUAGCGGUGAAAAUGCGUAGAUAUCGGAAGGAACACCUGUGGCGAAAGCGGCUCACUGGACCAUUACUGACGCUGAGGCACGAAAGCUAGGG
rnacentral:rRNA from 1 species